GUAAGGAAUAUUGGACAAUGGGCGGAAGCCUGAUCCAGCCAUGCCGCGUGAAGGAAGAAGGCGCUCAGCGUUGUAAACUUCUUUUAAAUGGGAACAAUAACCUCGACGUGCUCGGGGCUUGAGGGUACCAUUAGAAUAAGCACCGGCUAACUCCGUGCCAGCAGCCGCGGUAAUACGGAGGGUGCAAGCGUUAUCCGGAAUCACUGGGUUUAAAGGGUGCGUAGGCGGUUUGAUAAGUCAGUUGUGAAAUACCCCGGCUUAACCGGCGGUCGUGCGAUUGAUACUGUUGGACUUGAAUCAGGUUGAGGUAGGCGGAAUGUGGCAUGUAGCGGUGAAAUGCAUAGAUAUGCCAUAGAACACCGAUUGCGAAGGCAGCUUGCUGGACCUAGAUUGACGCUGAGGCACGAAAGCGUGGGGAGCAAACAGGAUUAGAAACCCCAGUAGUCC
rnacentral:rRNA from 1 species